rnacentral:sRNA from 1 species
GCUAGGCGUGGUGGUGCACACCUGUAAUCCCAGUGGCUUGGGAAGCUGAGUCAGGAGGAUCGUGAAUUCAAAGCCAGCCUCAGCAAAAGUGAGGCGCUAAACAACUCAGUGAGACCCUGUCUAUA